rnacentral:rRNA from 1 species
UACGGAGGAUGCGAGCGUUAUCCGGAUUUAUUGGGUUUAAAGGGUGCGUAGGCGGGAUGCCAAGUCAGCGGUAAAAAUGCAGUGCUCAACGCCGUCGAGCCGUUGAAACUGGCGUUCUUGAGUGGGCGAGAAGUAUGCGGAAUGCGUGGUGUAGCGGUGAAAUGCAUAGAUAUCACGCAGAACUCCGAUUGCGAAGGCGGCAUACCGGCGCCCUACUGACGCUGAGGCACGAAAGCGUGGGUGUCGAACAGG